rnacentral:rRNA from 1 species
UCUGGUUGAUCCUGCCAGUAGUCAUAUGCUUGUCUCAAAGAUUAAGCCAUGCAUGUCUAAGUAUAAGCUUUUAUACAGUGAGACUGCGAAUGGCUCAUUAAAACAGUUAUAGUUUAUUUGCUAUUCGUUUAUAUGGAUAACCGUAGUAAUUCUAGAGCUAAUACAUGCAUUAUUCGCGACUCACGAAGCGUAGUAUUUAUUAGAUAAGCACCACGGGCUUCGGCUUGUGUGAGGAAUCAUAAUAACUGAGCGAACUACCAUCGGUAGUGAAGCAUUCAAGUUUCUGCCCUAUCAGCUUUCGAUGGUAGUGUAUUGGACUACCAUGGCGUUGACGGGUAACGGAGAAUUAGGGUUCGAUUCCGGAGAGGGAGCCUGAGAAACGGCUACCACAUCUAAGGAUGGCCGCGGUAAUUCCAGCUCCAGUAGCGUAUACUAAAGUUGUUGCAGUUAAAAAGCUCGUAGUUGAAUUUCUGUGUAGUGUACUUGCGGUCUUCGGACCAAUAUAUACUGCACAUCCAUCUGAACAGCACUUCUUGUCAUUCAUUUGUCGGUUGUGUGAUCAGAUACUUUACCUUGAGAAAAAUAGAGUGUUCCAAGCAGGCGUCCGCCUGAAUAAUAAAGCAUGGAAUAAUACAAUAGGACUGGGUUCUAUUGGUGCAUAGAACUUAGUAAUGAUUAAUAGGGACAGUUGGGGGCAUUUGUAUUUAAUUGUCAGAGGUGAAAUUCUUUGAUUUAUUAAAGACAAACCUAUGCGAAAGCAUUAGCCAAGGAUGUUUUCAUUAAUCAAGAACGAAAGUUAAGGGAUCGAAGACGAUCAGAUACCGUCGUAGUCUUAACCAUAAACUAUGCCGACUAGAGAUUGGAGGUGCAAUCUCAAUACUCCUUCAGCAUCUUAGGAGAAAUCAAAGUCUUUGGGUUCUGGGGGUAGUAUGGUCGCAAGACUGAAACUUAAAGGAAUUGACGGAAGGGCACCACAAGGUGUGGAGCCUGCGGCUUAAUUUGACCCAACACGGGGAAACUUACCAGGUCCAGACAUGGGAAGGAUUGACAGAUUGGAGAUCUUUCUUGAUUCCAUGGAUGGUGGUGCAUGGCCGUUCUUAGUUGGUGGAGUGAUUUGUCAGGUUAAUUCCGAUAACGAACGAGACCUCAACCUGCUAACUAGUUGCAGCUUCUUUCAAGUUGUAGACUUCUUAGAGGGACUAUAGGAUUUAACCUAAGGAAGUUUGAGGCAAUAACAGGUCUGUGAUGCCCUUAGAUGUCCUGGGCCGCACGCGCGCUACACUGAUGCAGGCACUAAGUCUCCAAUUUCGAAAGAUUUUGGGAACCUUCAAACUGCAUCGUGCUGGGGAUUGACACUUGUAAUUAUUUGUCAUCAACGAGGUAUACCUAGUAAGCGCAAGUCAUCAGCUUGCACUGAUUACGUCCCUGCCCUUUGUACACACCGCCCGUCGCUCCUACCGAUUGGGUGAUGCGGUGAGCCUUUCGGACGGGCGCUUCGGCGCCUGAAAGUUAUGCAAAUCUCAUCACUUAGAGGAAGGAGAAGUCGUAACAAGGUU